UUACUAAUGGCUAUUUAGUAAAUACUCUAUGUGAAAAAAUUAUUUUUUUAUACUAAUAAUUAUACUGAUGUGCGCUAAACUAUGUGUUUUAUUUAUUGAACGGUACUCGUGAAGAAAUGACCAAAUACAUUGAGUACAAUACGUAAUAAGUAUUCACAACUCGAAAAAGGUAGACAAGAGUAUACGAUUGGAGUUAUAGAUAGACAACUGGAAAAACAAGAAAUUUAACAACCAAAUUUAAUCAAAAUAAUUCAUAAUAUGGACAAGACGACGGACACGAGGGGGUGAUACGAGAAAGAGCACGGCCUGGUAUGUCAUCUGAACACAUUCUCCAGUCACCCGAGGCGCGGCAACGAGAUUCGCGGGUGUCGCUAACCACUGUGGCGGAUCGGCGAGCGCCCGGCUGCUUUGGUCUCGCGGAACGACGCUGAUCGUCGUCAACUGUAGUCGCUUAACAAAAAAUUUGGAUUUAUAUCCCCAUGGCUUGUAUAUUCAAAAAGCCAAAAAGGACUUUAUUACCCACAUAAUUAUAAUUUCAAAAAUUCAGAAAUAGAACCAAAAUUAAAUGGUAAAAUAUUUGGAGAAACCGUUUUAAAGCUAAUGGACAACUUCAAUUUGGAUUUGAAUAACUGCGUUGGUGUUGCUACAGACGGUUUUGGUGUGAUGGCUUCAAAAGUGAUGGUGCAGUAAAAACUAUAUAUUAGAAAAGAUAAACAGUGCUGUAAGAUGUCCGUGUUUUUACCAUAGCUUGAAUACUACAAUUUCCAAAGGUUGUCAAAUUUAGUCCAUCUGGAAUAGUUACGGACAAAUUAAAAAAAUUAUUUCAUUUUUUCAUGUAAGUUCAAAAUAAAAUUUAUAUUCUAUAGUCUGUUCUACAUUUUUCACUACACUCUUUUUUUGAAAUUAGAUGAAUUGAAAGGCAUACAGCAGUGACAUAAUUUUUAACUGGAAUUUCAGAAAUUAUGAAUUCUCUUCAAAAAAUAACCAAUUUGGAUGAGAGUCAUCUAGUAAAGCCAUAGUUAGGUUUUUAUUUAUUUAACUAGUUUUAUUUAACUCAAUUAAUAGACUGCGAAUUCGUUAUCAUUCUACAUAUUGCUUCACAUAUAUUUUGAUUACACAAUCUCGUAGUGACAGAAAAAAAACUUAUAAACAGUUUGGAAUUAACUGCAUAAAUAAGACUACAGACAUUUUAAAUAAACUUAUAUUGGACAGAAAAAAGAAGUUUAAGAAUCUGUAGUUGAAAGCUGUUGAAAAAAUAGAAAAAUUAAAGAUUACUGUAAAAAGCCUAGAACAAUAUCAAAAAAUCAUCACGGAUAAAAUCCAGAGACUAACAAUGUAGAAUACUAUUUCCGUGUAACAAUGUACAUUCCGUUUUUAGAUAUCAUGGUUGAUGGUAUGAAAUCCAGAUAUACAGAAGAAACAUUGGGUUUGUAUAAUUUAGGAAUAUUUGUGCCGAAAAUAUUAAUUUCUAAAAUACAAGAAAACUCAGUACAAAUAUUUGAAUCUACUUGGAAUCAGUUCUUAAAUAUAUAUUGAUUAAAUGACGUGUUUACAAAUAGAGAAGUAUUUAUUAGACAGUUGCAAGGAGAAAUGGUUUUGUGAAAUGAACAUUGGAAAAAAUAAUGAUAUCCCUGAUACAGCUCUCAACUCUUUAGAACACUGUGAUAAAUAUAUGUUUCUAAAAUUCACUGUUAAAACUGUUAGCUAGUUUUUAGUUUUAGCUACGUAUUAAAGCUUACGUUCUACUGAUGCACUAGGUCGAAUGUAUUCAGUUCAUCCAAAAAAUUAAGAAUGUUUAGCUGUUGGUUUUUUUCUGUUAGAGCCGUUAGAGGCAAAUAAAAUAGCUGUGCGCCUGUGCUACUAUUUUUCUUUAAAAAGUCAAAAAAAAAAAUACCUUGGUUGUAUAAUAUUAUUUUUAUAUUCACGUUGUCCUCGUGAAACGUUUAUAAUUUUCGUGAGAUAAUUAGUAUAUAUUUUUAUUUUAAAACAUUUUUUUUUUUUGAUUUUGAUUUUUAAAUUAAUCUUAAUAUAUUAUAUUUACGUUUUAAACUUUGUACCAACCCUUUUCAUCUAAUAUCACGGUGAACAUCUUGACGUACCGUAUUACUGUAAGUGACGUAUAAUAACUAGUCGUGUACACUAGUAUACACAGGCCGUGUCAAAAUGUAUGUAACAGCUGUUGUUUGUUAACUUAUGACGACGACUAUGCACUGAUUUUGGUUAAGUUACACACGCGCAAACAGUGAUUUUUCUGAAUUGUAUUAUAAAGAAAUGAAAACAUCGAGCAUUAGUUAAUGCAUACGUAUAUUUAAAAUAUAAUAUAAUUUAAUGAUAUCACUAAUUUCAAGACGACAACGCUGUUUGUAUGGAUAAUAUAUUAUAACUCAAAAUCGGGCUAUUUGCCAAUUAUUGGUACCUACAUCCGAAUCGUAUCGUGUACAAGAAAUGGUUACGAUCGUAAAUUCAAUUCGCAUGGCAAUUGAAUUUACAUAAUACCCAACAGGGAAUGAUAUUUCUGUAUGAUCCGGUUUAGACGUAAUGGAUACGGAGGACGGUGACAUCUACCUAUCGUCGAAUUGCGGCUUAGUAAAAUAAAUAUUUCACGAAAAUGGAUCGAUUUAAUUUUAUAUUGCUCCGAAUGAAAACACAGUUACAUAAAAUAUAUUAUGGCAGUAUCAUCGAAAUGUAC